AGUGAACGCUGGCGGCAGGCCUAACACAUGCAAGUCGAGCGGCAGCGCGGGGGCAACCCUGGCGGCGAGCGGCGGACGGGUGAGGAAUUCGUCGGAAUCUGCCUUUUUGUGGGGGAUAACGUAGGGAAACUUACGCUAAUACCGCAUACGUCCUACGGGAGAAAGUGGGGGACCGCAAGGCCUCACGCAGAAAGAUGAGCCGACGACCGAUUAGCUAGUUGGUGGGGUAAAGGCCCACCAAGGCGACGAUCGGUAGCUGGUCUGAGAGGAUGAUCAGCCACACUGGGACUGAGACACGGCCCAGACUCCUACGGGAGGCAGCAGUGGGGAAUAUUGGACAAUGGGCGCAAGCCUGAUCCAGCCAUGCCGCGUGUGUGAAGAAGGCCUUCGGGUUGUAAAGCACUUUUGACCGGAAAGAAAUCCCUGGAGCUAAUACCUUCGGGGGAUGACGGUACCGGAAGAAUAAGCACCGGCUAACUUCGUG
rnacentral:rRNA from 1 species